UCUAUUUUUUUUUAUAUUUUAGCAGCUAGUUGCAUGUUUCUAAUAUUGAAGUUUUUAUUCUUCCUUCUAGAGCUUAAGGGAUAUCAAAACAUCCAGGCUUGCAGCAGGGAAUACAGUAGAAUCCAAAGCACCAGAGAAAGCAGCAAAGAAACUGGGUAAACAGACAGAUUUUUUUUUUCUUUUUUUUUCCUGAAGAUCCCAACAAACCCACACCUCACCCUGAAGCUACCUGAAGAUGAUGGCUUGAGGAAGGGGCCAUUAUCCAUUCAUCCUGACAUGCCUGGGCUCAAAUGUCUGCAAGCCCUGAAGUGGUUAUCCUGAUUACUGCCAGAGCAUUAAGAGUGAACUCCCUACUGGGAGACGCAGCAGAAAACUGGAGAAAUUUCCCCACAUGUGCCUUCCUUCACUCCUUCCUACACCCACCCAUCCAUUUGUCCAACCUGUCUACAAAGGCCUGUCAUGGAAAAUUGAGAUCCAACACAAUCUGCUAAGAACAUAGAAAACCGUUCGACCCUUCAUGUAAACACGGCAAGAAAAUGCCCUCCACUCAAACUGGCCAAGAAUCAGCCAAAAGGCCCGUGGUCGCCCAGGAGGAGCUGCAGAGAUCCACAGCUCA